UUUUUUUUUUUUUUUUUUUUUUUGUUUUGCGUAUUAAGUAUGCAAU
rnacentral:ribozyme from 13 species